GCGAAGAACCCGACACAGAGCUUGAACGCACGAACCAAGAGAUCAUGACGUGAGCCAAAACCAAGAGUCGGACGCUUAACCGACUGAGCCAUCCAGGUGCCCCAGAAAGCUGCUAUUCAAAAGCUGCAUCAGUGCUGUUGUUUUGAGCAGGGUUUCUGAGGAUGACUCAAGAUGGCUCCAUGCCCCUCCCCUUUGAAGUGCCCUAGGGUCCCCUGAGUUUCUUCCCAAAGGCCACCUGCUGCCUGGAGUCAUGGUUCCCACUGUAGGGACACACCAGUGGGAAUCUUGCUGGGCAGUCCCACUGCAGGCACUGAGGCUGGUGUCUCUAAUUUAUCAUCGGUUGCCAUCUGAGAGGGAUAGCCAGAUAGCCAGGGAUAGAAGGCUGGCUGGCUGCUCGAGGAAGGCCUGGGCAUGGCAUGACCUGCACGUGGACACCAUGUUCCCAAGGUGGCCUUCAGCCUUGUAAGUCCAGAAACAUGCGGGGGCUCCAGGGCACUCCACCUGCUUCCACUAAAGAAGCUCACCACAGACCACUGUUUAUACUCCAUGCCAACUUUCGUUGAUGAUGGAAGCCAUUCCCCCAGUACCCCAUCCCUGGAGACCCCGUUCCCAGUGUCACGAUGCGUGCGAAGCUGAAACUGUUGUUAAGAGAUUGCUUGGUGAGCAGGAUUUGGAACCAGAGUAGGGCAACUCUCAAGAAGGUCAUCAUUCAGGCCCUGGAAAAGAUUGGAGGACUGUGUUGGUCCCAUUCUUGAGCCUACCUCUCCAAGGGUGAGAAUAUCCAUAUGUCCCAGAUCUUUGUCUUCUGCUCAGGAUGAAGCUGGACCCGUUCUGUGAAUUUCCACUUUCUGUCUCCGCCCAUGCCUACUUUGCAUAGGCUUUGGACACCAUAAUAACAAUCAAGGUGGUUUGGGUUUAAGCCUGUGUGAUAGGAAUCCCUUAUUUUCAUGAGUGUUUUUUCACACUCAGGGUUUAGGGGACACACUCCUGUUACCCUUAUACCACCUGUCCUACCUUCUGCCAGAAAUAGGCUUAGUGAUAAAAUACCCAACUGCAUGUGUGAAUGAACAGCAACAUAAAGAUCAGAAACUACAUGGAUACAAGGGAGAACAUUGUACCUGUCACCUAGUCAAGAGUGUGACUAGAAUGAUUUUUAAGCUUCCUGGAAGCCCAGACACAGAAGAGAAUAAAUGGAGUGGUUUGAUUUGAAUAAUGGUUGAUUCACACAUCAGAAAUUUUAAAGGGCCAUCAGGAAUUUACUAGGUAAGCACAAAGGAUCUGGUUGUUCCUGUAGAGUUGAAUUAGCAAACAUUUUCGCUUUAAACACUUUAUUAGUAAAAAGAAGCUAACUCUGGGGUGCCUGGGUGGCUCAGUUGGUUAAAUGUCCAACUCUGGCUCAAAGUCAUGAUUUCAGGGCUCAUGAGUUCGAGCCCUGCAUCAGGCUGUCUCCUAUCGGUCCAGAACCCACUUUGGAUCUUCUACCUCCCUCUCUCUCUGCCCCUCCCCCCUUUCCCUCUCUCUCAUAAUUAAACGUUAAAAAAAAAAAAAAAGCUAAUUCUCAUUCAGGAUGAAAGAGCCUCAGAAACACAGAGUCUACUUUUACGAGUGAUCUUUCCCUACACAAGGCCACCAGCAUGCAAAGUUUCCACAGUUUAAUUCAACAAACAUUUAUUAAGCAUCUAUUGUGUGCCAGACAAUGUUAGGUUCUGAGGAUACAAAAUUGUAUAAAAUGUGAUGCCAUCCUUCAAGGAACUUACAGUCUAAUUGGGAAAAGGGACAAAGAAGUGAAAAAUAGCUCUGUGGUUGCACUCAGAUGAACACCAGGGACUGGGGGAGCCCUUGGGCCACAGAGGGGCUCCAGGAAGUCUGCCUGGAGGAGGUAACCCCUGAGCCAAGCCUUGAAAAAUGAUUUCGGGUCUGGUCUGAUCGUCUAAGUGGAAUAUGUGUGACACUGAAGCUGGAGUUAGGAGCCCGGGAUCUGACUUUCAUCUAACUAACUUGCUGUGUGACCUUGUGAAAGUCAUAUUCCCUCUCUGGGAAUCACUGAAUUCUCAGGGUAAAUGUGGGAGAGAAGGUCACUAGCAUUCCGCAGUAAGAUGGGGCGUGAGAAAUUCAUCCACUGGAAAGAAAGACAAAACUCUUUAGAAUACAUGAUCAAAAUAAAUGGGAAAUAAAUGUGAUCGGUCAGGUACUUAGGCUGAAAGCGCCAGCUAAACCCCAGUAACACACCAGCGCAGAAAACCAGUACUUUGGCAGGUUGAAAAAAACACUUCAGUCUUUCUCAAGAAACAGAAGUUUCCUCUGAGGAAUCUAAAGAGAAGCCUGCAAAGCCUGCAGUUAGGAACCCAAGCAGCCUUCAAUCCAGGGGCCGGGCCCCGCGCAGAAACCCGGAGCUCUAAUGGAAGGGGCAGGCCCGGCGCGGCAGCGGCAGCCAAUGAGAGAGCUUCCCGAUGAGGUCAUGGAGUUCCUCGGCGCUUCAUUGGAGGACCCCCCGCGAGGCUUUGGCGCCGACUGCCCCGCAGGAAGGCGGGUAGCAGCCGCAGGCCCGGGAGCCAGGGCUGGGAGGGCGCGUCCCCAAACUUUCUCCCAGUAUUUAUUUACGCAGAGCAGCGAGCCACGCGCACAGCCCUUCAUGCAAGUCCAAGUCCGCAUGGAUGGACAAGGAGGCAGCUGCCCACACAGGGGACCUCAAGGAGCACAAUCUGGAAAGAGCCGAAGCAGGACGUGGCAUUCCUAUGGCCCUUACCAUCCUGAACAUCAAGCCAGCAUCUGCCACAUGCUGCCUUCUACAGGUCAUGGGCUCUGUUCGUCAGCUUCUCACAGUGUCCCCAGCCCGGGGGCCUGUGGACACCAGGCACUGCGGGCCAUGGCUUAGCCCUCCGUGCAGCCUCAGGACACUCAACUCAGCAGAAUUGCUGCUGUUUAAAAGAGGCUGGGAGCUGGAUUUGCUGGGUUCCAAUGGCCUCCGGGGCAUCUGGUUGCUGAAAUCAGAAGAGGUUUGCCUUUCUGGUCUCAGAGACCUAAGGGAUCAAGGCUCAGCUUCAGGCAAGAUCAUCUCAUGCUUGAUUGCCAGAAUUCCUGGGCCCCAACAUGGAUACGAUUUCAGGGCUUCUUUCCACUGCAGGCCUGAUCAGCAAAUGCUCCCAGCUGAGUGUUCAGGAACCUUCACCACAUUAACAAAGCCCAUGAUAGGUUAGCUUGUACACAUUGGGCCUCAAAUAUUUUUGCUGCAUAAACGAUCAAGUCAUUCAGGCAAACAGUAACCUCCAGGUCAGUUUCAAGGGCACCAAAAAGGCUUCUUCCCCAACGUUUCACCUACCUGUCCUCCCCACAGUCCUUAGAGAGUCUGGUCUUGGGCAGGUGCCUGUUAACAUGCAAAUGUGUCUGAAGAUAAUACGGAAACUAUAGUCUCUGUGGUCUCCCAGCUCAAAUUAGUUUCUUAUCUCCCUUUCCCUGCGGUGGGAGGGGCUGUCAGGGAAUCGAGGGAGGGCGCAGAGGCCCUGUCUGCCCAGGUUAGUGUGGGAGGGUGCCCUGGAGAAACUUCAUUGACAUCCAGCUUUUCCCAAACAGUGGAACCAGUUCCUGGUGAUUAAGACAUUGGGGCCUGAGGGAAGUCCUGAGAGAGCAAAAGGUCACAGAGCAUAGAGAAAGGAGCAAGGUGAGGACAUCCAAGGGACUGUCUGUGGUCUGGAGGUAAGCCUGGAUCAGACCAGACUGGAGCUCCAGGCUCAGGGCUCCCUUCCCUGUGCUAUGGGUCACAGCUGCACACAGGCCGGGGCCAUUGUUUCCAGAUUU